UACAGAGGGUGCAAGCGUUGUUCGGAAUUAUUGGGCGUAAAGCGCGUGUAGGCGGCUUUGCAAGUCGGGUGUGAAAGCCCUCAGCUUAACUGAGGAAGUGCGCCCGAAACUGCAGAGCUUGAAUACCGGAGAGGAUGGCGGAAUUCCCCAAGUAGAGGUGAAAUUCGUAGAUAUGGGGAGGAACACCGGUGGCGAAGGCGGCUUCCUGGACCGACACUGACGCUGAGGCGCGAAAGCUAGGGGAGCAAACGGG
rnacentral:rRNA from 1 species